AUGGACGCCGGUGCUCUAGCUGGGUGUUUGAGAGACAAGAGCGUCCUCAUCACAGGCUCAACUGGAUUCCUCGGAAAAUUAUUCGUCGAGAAGAUAUUGAGGGUUCAGCCCGCUGUCAAGAAGAUCUACCUGCUGGUGCGCGCCUCCCAUGGUGCGUCUGCCGAGCAGCGUGUCAUGUCCGAGGUCACUGGAGAGGCAGUCUUCGAUAUCCAGCGUGAAAAAUACGGUCCUGUUGGCUUCCAAAACUUCAUCAAAGAAAAGGUAGUUCCUAUAGACGGAGAUAUCAUGCAUGACAACCUCGGUCUUGAUAGUGCUCAAGUGUCAGUCUUGACGAAAGAAGUUGAUGCUAUCAUCAAUGGAGCUGCCACAACUAACUUCUAUGAAAGGUACGAUGUGGCUUUGAAUUCAAAUGCCUUAGGAGCCAAAAAUGUAUGCGAGUUUGGAAAGAAGUGUUGUAAUAUGAAACUCUUACUUCAUGUUUCAACAGCUUUUGUAGCUGGUACCCAAGAAGGGUUGCUGCUUGAGAGAGCUUUCCAUAAUGGUGAAACACUAAGAGAAGGUUACUACUUGGACAUUGAAGAAGAAUUACAAUUGGUUAGGAAUGUGAAGACAGAACUCAUGGAAGCCUUGAGUGAUAGUUCAGAAAAAUUAGAGAAAUCUAAAAUGAAGGAACUUGGCUUAAAGAGGGCUUGUCAUUUUGGAUGGCCAAACGUAUAUACACUCACGAAGGCAAUGGGGGAAAUAUUACUUGGUCAAUACAAAGGGGAGCUUCCGAUUGUCAUUAUUAGACCCACCAUGGUCACAAGCACUUAUCAAGAUCCAUUUCCUGGAUGGAUUGAAGGAACGAGGACAAUUGACGCUCUAAUUGUCGCCUACGAUGAGCAAGCACUGCCAUGUUUUCUAGGUGAUCGUAAUGACAUAAUUGAUUUGAUUCCUGCCGACAUGGUUAUAAAUGCUGCAUUGGUAGCAAUGGCAGUUCACUGGAAUGAAAAAUUGCAGGUCAUUUACCAUGUGAGCUCAUCGUGCCAGAACCCACUUUCAGUUAAUGAUUUUGUGGACUCAUGCUUCGAUUACUUCUCCAUUAGUCCUCGUAUAUUAAAUGGGAGGGUCCUCCAAACAAGAAGACCAUACUUGUUCAAGAGAUAUGCUUUCUUCCGUGUUUGUCUUAUGAUCAUAUUUUCGCUACCACUAAUGAUUUUGGAAGGAUUCAAUUUGUUAUUAUGUGGGUGUUUUUCCCGAUAUUGCAAUGACCUCAACCGGAGAUACAAUUUCUUAACACUCCUUGUGAAGUUGUAUGCACCAUAUGCAUUCUUUAAAGGACGCUUCGACGACAGCAACUUAACAUGGCUAAGGAUGGAAACAAAGAUAUGCAAUGUCGAUGGUGGAAACCUUAAUUUUGAUCCCAAGCAGAUUAGUUGGCACUCAUAUCUCAUUAGUGUCCAUGUCCCUGCCGUCCUGAAGUACGCUCACAUGAAGAAGGGAACCACAUUGCGCCGAACAUCCUACUCCUACUCACAAUAA
rnacentral:rRNA from 1 species